GGUCUUGUAGUUUAGUUAAAAUUUUAAGUUGCAAACUUGAAGAAAACAUUUUGUUCUGGACUU
rnacentral:tRNA from 1 species